ACACAGUAACACACACACACACACACACAGUUGAGCUGUUAUUCAGUAAGAAAAGCCUUCAAACCCACUCCUCUUCAUCCUCUUCAUCCUCCUCCCACACAUUCACACACAAACUCCAUUCAGAGUCGAGUGGAUCGUUCGGAGCAGACAGAAGAUCACAAUGUAAAUGUCUGCUGCCCCUCUAAUGACGCCUCCGACCCACGGGGCAGGUACCGUCACCGUGGCAACCCACGGGGCAGGUACCGUCACCGUGGCAACUCACAGCUGAUAAUUAACAGACAGGUUUUUAUUUAUUCUUCAACUUUAAACUAAAUGCAGAUGUCAUAUUUAAGACCUGGAGCAACAUGAGGACAUUUCUUUGACUUUGUUUCCUUCAGAGUGAAUUCACUUCCACACUUUAUUCAUUCUCAUAUUUAACGUUUGGAUUGAGUCUGCGUCGGCCGUCCAGCAGUCAGCAGUCCUCUUCCACACAUUGUUCAUUGUUCCUCUCCUGCCUCCACUGAGAGAGACAGACACACUGAUACUGUCUGUCUGCAUCACAUCGAGCUCAACAGCACAUUAACACUCAUAAAGAUCACUUAGACAAUCCCACAAUGCACCACAGAGCGUCUCUGCUGCAGGCUGCUGACAGCGAGGAACACAUUAGUCCCAUAUGUUCAAACAGCUGAUCAAUAAUCAGAGAAUCUGUCAGAAAGAAGAAUAUUAAGUCUGUUUGUUACAAUGAUAAAAAUACAGAGAAUGGAUCAAUAUGUCUGAUCAAUAUUCACAGGAAAUAAUCAAACUUCCUGCUGUUAUUGAGUUCACUGUUUGGGUCCAUUGAUCAGUUGAUCAGCUGUUGUUGUACAUUGAAUAUAAAAUAUAUAAUAUGUAACAGUCAGGGACAGAAAGGUUAGCAUUAGUUAGCAUCCACAGACGUCUCACCGUGUUUGUUUAUGUUUGUUGAUGAAAUAAAACGUAACAAUAAAUGAA